rnacentral:siRNA from 1 species
ACCAAAAUGAAUGAUUAAGGGUCU